AGCGAACGCUGGCGGCAGGCCUAACACAUGCAAGUCGAACGAACUCUUCGGAGUUAGUGGCGGACGGGUGAGUAACACGUGGGAACGUGCCUUUUGGUUCGGAAUAACUCAGGGAAACUUGUGCUAAUACCGAAUGCGCCCUUCGGGGGAAAGAUUUAUCGCCAUUAGAGCGGCCCGCGUCUGAUUAGCUAGUUGGUGAGGUAACGGCUCACCAAGGCGACGAUCAGUAGCUGGUCUGAGAGGAUGACCAGCCACACUGGGACUGAGACACGGCCCAGACUCCUACGGGAGGCAGCAGUGGGGAAUCUUGCGCAAUGGGCGAAAGCCUGACGCAGCCAUGCCGCGUGAAUGAUGAAGGUCUUAGGAUUGUAAAAUUCUUUCAACGGGGACGAUAAUGACGGUACCCGGAGAAGAAGCCCCGGCUAACUUCGUG
rnacentral:rRNA from 1 species